rnacentral:rRNA from 1 species
CAGCAGCCGCGGUAAAACGUAGGGUGCGAGCGUUAAUCGGAAUUACUGGGCGUAAAGCGUGCGCAGGCGGUUCGUUAAGACAGAUGUGAAAUCCCCGGGCUUAACCUGGGAACUGCAUUUGUGACUGGCGAGCUAGAGUAUGGCAGAGGGGGGUAGAAUUCCACGUGUAGCAGUGAAAUGCGUAGAGAUGUGGAGGAAUACCGAUGGCGAAGGCAGCCCCCUGGGCCAAUACUGACGCUCAUGCACGAAAGCGUGGGGAGCAAACAGGAUUAGAUACCCCAGUAGUCCCUGUCUCUUAUAA